UCCACGGUUCCAAACCAGUGUGCAGAGUCU
rnacentral:piRNA from 1 species